rnacentral:rRNA from 1 species
UACGUAGGGGGCAAGCGUUGUCCGGAUUUAUUGGGCGUAAAGAGCGUGUAGGCGGCCAGGUAGGUCUGCUGUGAAAACUCGAGGCUUAACCUCGAGCUGUCGGCGGAAACCAUCUGGCUAGAGUCCGGAAGAGGAGAAUGGAAUUCCCGGUGUAGUGGUGAAAUGCGUAGAUAUCGGGAGGAACACCAGUGGCGAAGGCGACUUCCUGGCCUGUUCUUGACGCUGAGGCGCGAAAGCUAGGGGAGCAAACGGG